GAUGAACGCUGGCGGCGUGCCUAAUACAUGCAAGUCGAGCGAACAGACGAGGAGCUUGCUCCUCUGACGUUAGCGGCGGACGGGUGAGUAACACGUGGAUAACCUACCUAUAAGACUGGGAUAACUUCGGGAAACCGGAGCUAAUACCGGAUAAUAUAUUGAACCGCAUGGUUCAAUAGUGAAAGACGGUUUUGCUGUCACUUAUAGAUGGAUCCGCGCCGCAUUAGCUAGUUGGUAAGGUAACGGCUUACCAAGGCGACGAUGCGUAGCCGACCUGAGAGGGGGAUCGGCCACACUGGAAGUGAGGCAAGGUCCAGAGUCCUACGGGAGGCAGCAGUAGGGAAUCGUCCGCAAUGGGCGAAAGCCUGACGGAGCAACGCCGCGUGAGUGAUGAAGGUCUUCGGAUCGUAAAACUCUGUUAUUAGGGAAGAACAAAUGUGUAAGUAACUAUGCACGUCUUGACGGUACCUAAUCAGAAAGCCACGGCUAACUACGUG
rnacentral:rRNA from 1 species